CAGGAUUAAAGUAGUAUCGAUUGAAUUACUAAUUGGUUGCAUAAAUCGCAUGAUUUUCAUAUUGCAUGGUUGUGAGGCAUGACAUGUAUUUCAAUUAUCGCAUAUAUAUAUAUAUCUGUUCGAUAUUUGUUGGACUAACAUGUUGCAGUGCCUCCUUGGACCUAUGGGUCGAGCUCUUCCCUUGGGUGGCUGUACCCACUGGGAACUAUAUUUAUAUCGUUCUCACCCUCGUGUUGUUUUUGGGGGUACAGGUUUCCACGUGAGCGGCGCGGCGGCGCGAGGCGAGGGCGUAGCUCCAUAGUUAACGCCCUACCACCGAGACCAGAGAUAGCGGUACCCUGAGUCGGCUUUGCUUAGGGAUGUAAAGAAUAAAAAGAAUCAAGUUGUAAUAAUCAUGUUAAAUCAGAUUGUAUUUGGAAGUUAAGUGAAAGCUAGUGUAAGAAUCAAAUGAGAAUUGUGAUGUAAAAAUAUAUGAAUGUGAAUGCAUGUAAUAACAUAGGAUGUGUUAUGUUGUUUGAUACCUUCCAUUAUGCAAUCUUUGAUUGAAAUGUGUUCCUGGUUGGAACUUUGUAUAUUGUAUUGAUUGCGACGCCUUAAAUGUACAGGAGAGACUCUGUCCGUUGUACAGGAGAAACCCUGUCCGUUCGGCGGUCUGUCGGCGGCGCCGCGACCUGGCCGAUAAGAUGGUAUCAGAGCAUGAGCAUAAAAAGAAUAUAAAAAGAAUAAUAGAAAAUGGUUUAGUUUGACCUAAGAGACCCUAGGAUAGUAAACCAUAGGAGAUUAAGGCUCGUGAGAGACGAGGACUUGUGACUUUUGGCGAAAGGUUAAUCGAUUGGGUUGUGUCGUAAACCUCUAAAAUGGAUGUUAGAGGUAAAUUCAAGGUGUGGUUUAUUCUCAACCGAUGGUGUUCGUGUCGGGCGCGCACAACAUGAAACCGAGUGAUGAGAAUAGACGCCCUUGCGUGACUUUCGCCCGAUUUGAGUCGGUAUUAAGUGUCUCGUAUUCGAUCUAGAAGGUCGAGGAUUAAUAGAGUUGUCGCGUUUUAGGAAACAACAGCACUGCGUAGGCGAUCUUUGUUUAGAUCGGCGCGGGAUGGCCAAGUGGUGUCCCUGGGCAAUUUGAGACGAGCGGAGACUUGAGACUUCGCGAGCGAUUGGCCACUCUCGUGUGUGUGGCGGGGUAAUGAGCCGAAUUAGUGCAGUGUCAGUAGAAGGCUACCAUACGCCGGGAGGAGCGAGUUAAGAGACUCCAAGAGUUGGGGGAUCAGUAGUGAUCGCACCAGUUCCGGCUCGUUAAGUACGGCCGGGAGUCGCGACGAAGGUGUGGUGGACAGGCAUCGAGUGGAAUCGACUGCCUGGUCUCCCUCCUGUGGUUUGGGAUGAGUUUCGGGGAUCGGUAUUCUCUGUUUACUCCCCUGAUGAUGGAAAAGAAAGCUUCAGGAAAGGUUCUCGAAGCUACGGCAGGUAGAUCGCGCCGUGAGGGAAUACGAGCGGGAAUUCUUCUGUGUCGUGAAUUGCAUCCUGGACAUAGUGCGGGAUAAUGAGAACGAAACUCCUUUUAGGAGGGGAGAAUGUAACGUUCCGAAAUUUCGGUAAAUAAAUAUCAAACUUUAGUCAAAUUGACCAAAGUGCGUCGAGAGAAAUAGUUGGACAAAGUCCAAUUGACAUUCCAACGAUGUUGGAAGGGUUAAAAAUGAGUUUCAAAGGAGGUAGGAAGGUUUUAGUAUCGACCGGCGCGAAAUAGAAUCGAAAACGGCUCAAAACCAGCAUUCUGGGCAAAGUGUACCGGUACAACCAUCAUGUUGUCACCGGUACAGCCCUGCAGCCCGAGAAGAGCAUUGCUCUCGGGUUUGAGUUUUCGCAGAAGUGUACCGGUACACCUCUGGUUUGUACCGGUACACUUUGGUAAAAUCCGAGGAGGUUGCUCUCGGGUUUGCCUCUGCACAGCUUUGUACCGGUACAAAAGCCCGUCUACCGGUACACAAUGGGUCUGACAGCAGGUUGAGGUCUGCUGCAAAUGAGAAAUGUUGGGGGGUUUAAAUUCAGUUGUGGCGGUUUGUGUAAACCCCACACAUCUUCUUUCCUUGUUCACAGCAAGGAGUACCCCUUCAACUCCAUGUUCUUUCUUCUCUCACUCUCCAGGAGCUUUUCUAAAGAGGAGGAUUAGAGGAGCUUUGAGAAUUAGGCCUUGUGGAUUGAACAAGGCAGUGCAAUUGUGCGAAGGGAGCGUGAGUCCAUUCGCAAGGAAAAAGAAAAUAGGACGGCCAACGAGUGGAUUCGGUGGUCCGUCAAGUUUUCAACUGAGUGCAAUGUGUUCGCGCUCGUGAUCCCGAGUUUCGGGGACCUACUGUAUUUGGUCCUUGGUGAGAUGUGUUGUUUGUGGGUGUUUUCGUUACCCACAGUAUUGCGAGAUGUGAGAAGGCAAGUGCUACAGGUGUGGGCAACCGGACUGUGCGCGGGACGAGUGUCCGCAAGGUGACAGCCGGGGCCUGACACUGGCGACAGCCUAUUUCUCUUUAGGAUGGCCUACAGGUGUGCCAUCAGCGGCAUGGUCGGGAGAGAGGGCGUUGAGGACAAUGCAACCUAAAGGUUUGCGGCGAGCGCCGGGUGGCCGUAGAUAUGCGACCCAGGUUGAGGACCCUACUGUUGACGACAUCGUUGCAGGUAUGAGUUAUUGAUGCAAAUGUAUGUUUUGCAUGAUGUGAAGUUGAUGCAUUGCAUGCAAUGGUUAUGUGGUUAAUUACUAUUGUCGUGCAUGAGCAUAGUGAAGACCGAGUUGACGGGUGAGUAUAGAUGCCCGGGCAUGCUCGUGUUGUGAGGGCGUAGAACCUGCCAGUAUAGGUAUAGAGCCAGAAGGCACUAGCGAAGUGCUAGUAGUGACCUUUGGCGAGAAGUGAAACUCGCGGUAGAGACAGAGGUGGCUAAUCGACUCUCAGAGCAACUUGAUUAGUAGAUCGCGAGAGUCGAGCCGUGGUAUUUGAGAACACCCAAGUGGUCCGAGUAUUUCGGAUGUCGUUCCGAUGGGUCUAACAGCGAAAGUGAUUCACUGUUGGCGGAACAGUUGGUUAGUAACCAAGUGCAAGCAUGUAGGCCUAGUAGUACAUCAAUGUGAGGUAGGAGGGUCGUGCUUGUGUAGUCGGCGUACGUAGGCAAGGAUUGCCUAACACUGGACUUAGUGUGCAACGCUAUGGAGGCGUAUGACGUUCGAGUAGAGUUACUCGUGGAGUGCGAACUGGGUUCAGCCGAGUGAGUGAGUUUGCAGUAGCACUUGAGCACUGCUAGGUGUGAAGCGUGCCAUGGAUCACUCGUGGGACAGGUGACUCGCAUUAGAUGCAUAGUAGCCGGUAGUGGUACGUGUGGCUCGGUAGAGCGUGUCGUGCGAUUGAUAGUACACCGAGAGUACGAGUGUGACCCAACCCGGGAAUCUGUAACGGUUUGGGAUCUUAGUUGCUCCUGGUUGGAGUGUGUGCGAAUUCCCAAGUGAGAAUUUCGCCCGAUCAUGAUUAGGUCUGCAUUCGCGAGCGAGAGACGCUGCGUAUUGAGACAGGUUUAGGCGGUAGGCCAAUGUAGGAUUGGUGGCCUUUGGUCCACCUGUGGAGACCGAAGAGAGCGAUUUGGCAGAUAGCCUUAUCGAGGAAUUUGACUCGAAUUCACGAACGAAGCGCUCGUGUGAGCUAGUUGCGGAAAUAGUUUGAUGUUAAUCGUGGCAUGUGGUAUCAGAUGAUGAAGUACUCCUUGUGAGACAUCAAACUAGUGGAAAGCCACGUGAUUGUGGAGACUAUGCCCGUGAACGAACUAAGACUUGAGAGGUGUCGAAGUGGGCCAUCUCACGUUGAAGUUAAGGGUUAGUGCGAAAUUAGAGCACUCACGACGGAGCGAUGCAUCGGUGAUAUUGCUUCUAAGCAAUGUCGGUGAUCGAGUCAGAAUGUAUUUCCUGAAGGGAAGGUAAGUGCAAAGAAGAGUUCUUUGUGUACCGAAUGACGAGUGGUGUUGGAGCGCGUAGAGUCGUCGAGUACCAACUUGCGCUGCCACUAUGACUUGCAAGACCGUGAUGCACUUCUGUAUCACACUUUGCAAAUGUGUUUAGGGUUAAACCCACGUCCUUCAGUAUGAGCCGCUUCUAGAACCACGAUUGUGUGAAGCCGCUUUAGAGUGGGAGAAUGAUUUGGUACCCUCAAUUGCUCAUGGAGCUGAAAUGAGGCGCGGUUUGAAUUUCGCGGACGAAAUUCUUUUAAGGGGUGGAGAAUGUAACAUACCAGAUUUUGGUGUAAAAAUAAAAAUAAAUAAAAAUAGUGUGAGAAACUAUUUUUAUUGGAUUUAGAGGAGUAAAAUAUAAGUCAGAAAUGACUUGUGCUGAAAUCGGAAUGAAAACAGAAGAUUUAGAAUUUUCUGUUGGAAACGGGAUAGAUAAAUUAACAGAAAAAUGCACAGUUUCAAAAAAUUAUGAAAAUUGGAGGAUAAGUCAGAAAUAUUUUUAUGAGACUAGAUUUAAAGUUUCAUAUUUUUCUGACACCCGUAGAGUGAGAAAUAAAAUCUGACAGCUAUCUGAUAAAGAUUACAGUUCGGUACAGUUUUCAGUGACCAAACGAGGUCGAAACUGAAAACUUAAGAUAUAUUCUUACUCAGUACGUUAAACCGAGCCUGCGUGUCAAAUUUGAGCCCAAAUGGACAUUCAGAAGGGCUCCAACUGUUCCGAACUGCUAAACUGCCCUGAGUGAAUAGUAUUUUGGGGUGUAAUGUAUAAAGAAGCUUUAGCUUCUUCUCCUUCAGCCGACCACCAUACACGCCACCACCAACCCGCAUACAUGGUAGGGAGAGAGAAAGCUUUCUCUCUCUCUAGAUUUCUCUCUCAUCUCUCCAUAUCUCUCGCUCAAAUUCGCGGCGUUGGCGGAGAAGAUGCUUGCGAACGCGUUGGGAGCGACGGAUCGAGUUUUCGUGCGCCCGUUGGAGCGGCGUGUUUUCGUCGCGGCGUUCACGUUUUGGUAAGAGUUUGGGAUUUUGUUUAAAUCCUUCAUGAAUGAUGUUCUAGUAGUAUCUAGAGUGUUCUAAACAUGUUAUCUCCAUUUAAUUUGGAUUAAUUGGAAGUUAAUUGCAUGUUAGGGCUCCGAAUGGGGUUUUGUAAAAUAUAAGGGUUUGAUCUAAUUUGACCCUCCGUAAACCUACUUGCUAGGUAAACGAACGCGUUGGCGAAGUCAGUUCGGCGAUUCGUCGAGCCGUUGCGAAGUUAUUAAAGAAACGGACGUUUAGGCUUCAUUUCCGCCUGGAGGCCCGAGGCGACAUCGUAUACUCAUGAAAACGGAUUUGAAGUAUCGUAGCACAUAACCGAAGACCUUUAAUUUUCGGAUCGUGAAUUGGAGGCCGUUCGGGUGGUCGCGCGAGAGAUCGGGCCAAACCGGGUGCCGGGUGUCGGGUGCCGCGGGAGGCCGAUUGCAAGUGUCGACAAGCAAUCGGAAUGCGAAAUGAGGUGGGUUGUGCUCACCGAAGCGACUAGGUCGCCUAUAUGUCUAAGAGUAAUUGUUUUCUAAUUGAUGCAUAUAGUUGAUGUUACUUACUGUUGAGAUAGAAUGCAUAAUGACAUAUAAUGUGUUAAAUGCUAGAUGAAUGCAUGAGUUAAUUGUCACAUGAAUAAAUAAUGUUAUAGUAAUAUGUUAGAGGUAAUAUGCAUGUUGAUAAAUUAUGGAACAUGUUGGAUGGCAUAUGAAUGGUUGGNNNNNNNNNNNNNNNNNNNNNNNNNNNNNNNNNNNNNNNNNNNNNNNNNNNNNNNNNNNNNNNNNNNNNNNNNNNNNNNNNNNNNNNNNNNNNNNNNNNNNNNNNNNNNNNNNNNNNNNNNNNNNNNNNNNNNNNNNNNNNNNNNNNNNNNNNNNNNNNNNNNNNNNNNNNNNNNNNNNNNNNNNNNNNNNNNNNNNNNNNNNNNNNNNNNNNNNNNNNNNNNNNNNNNNNNNNNNNNNNNNNNNNNNNNNNNNNNNNNNNNNNNNNNNNNNNNNNNNNNNNNNNNNNNNNNNNNNNNNNNNNNNNNNNNNNNNNNNNNNNNNNNNNNNNNNNNNNNNNNNNNNNNNNNNNNNNNNNNNNNNNNNNNNNNNNNNNNNNNNNNNNNNNNNNNNNNNNNNNNNNNNNNNNNNNNNNNNNNNNNNNNNNNNNNNNNNNNNNNNNNNNNNNNNNNNNNNNNNNNNNNNNNNNNNNNNNNNNNNNNNNNNNNNNNNNNNNNNNNNNNNNNNNNNNNNNNNNNNNNNNNNNNNNNNNNNNNNNNNNNNNNNNNNNNNNNNNNNNNNNNNNNNNNNNNNNNNNNNNNNNNNNNNNNNNNNNNNNNNNNNNNNNNNNNNNNNNNNNNNNNNNNNNNNNNNNNNNNNNNNNNNNNNNNNNNNNNNNNNNNNNNNNNNNNNNNNNNNNNNNNNNNNNNNNNNNNNNNNNNNNNNNNNNNNNNNNNNNNNNNNNNNNNNNNNNNNNNNNNNNNNNNNNNNNNNNNNNNNNNNNNNNNNNNNNNNNNNNNNNNNNNNNNNNNNNNNNNNNNNNNNNNNNNNNNNNNNNNNNNNNNNNNNNNNNNNNNNNNNNNNNNNNNNNNNNNNNNNNNNNNNNNNNNNNNNNNNNNNNNNNNNNNNNNNNNNNNNNNNNNNNNNNNNNNNNNNNNNNNNNNNNNNNNNNNNNNNNNNNNNNNNNNNNNNNNNNNNNNNNNNNNNNNNNNNNNNNNNNNNNNNNNNNNNNNNNNNNNNNNNNNNNNNNNNNNNNNNNNNNNNNNNNNNNNNNNNNNNNNNNNNNNNNNNNNNNNNNNNNNNNNNNNNNNNNNNNNNNNNNNNNNNNNNNNNNNNNNNNNNNNNNNNNNNNNNNNNNNNNNNNNNNNNNNNNNNNNNNNNNNNNNNNNNNNNNNNNNNNNNNNNNNNNNNNNNNNNNNNNNNNNNNNNNNNNNNNNNNNNNNNNNNNNNNNNNNNNNNNNNNNNNNNNNNNNNNNNNNNNNNNNNNNNNNNNNNNNNNNNNNNNNNNNNNNNNNNNNNNNNNNNNNNNNNNNNNNNNNNNNNNNNNNNNNNNNNNNNNNNNNNNNNNNNNNNCCGAAACCCUAAUCCCCAGAUUCGAAAUCUCGUAGGGGGAUUCGAACGAUCAAAAAUCGUGGCUCCGAAGAAAACAAAGAGAUUCGGGAAAGAGGAGAAUGUGAAGCGCUAAAAUGUCGCAGCGCGUUCGGAGUCGGAACGAUCACGCGCUUUGCACGCUUUCUCUCUUUCUCUCUCCAUUUUGGGCCUGGAGCCCACAACAUUUAGUGGGCUUUAACGCUUCGAACGGCCCAUUACUAAAAGUACACAUUCAUGCCCCCCCCCUCUCUCUCUCUCUCUCUCUCUCUCUCUCUCCCCCUCCCUCUCUCUCUUUCUUUCUCUCUCUCUCCCCAUCUUUGCGCCCGCGGGGGGUUCGGGCUGCCCGCACAUGGCAGCCCCCCCUCCGGCUCUCUCUCUCUCCUCCCUUUUUCUCUCCCCCUCCUCCGAGGGGCGGCCGACGUUGCGGGGGCGGGGGCGAGCGCGAGCGCAGGCCGCGGGCAGGCGGGAUCGUGGGUCGUGGCGCCGCGUGGCGCGGGCGCGGGGCGGGCAGGCACGGAGCGCGGGGCUCGGCGCGGGCGUGCGGAGAGCGGACGACGCGGGUAGGUGCGGGCGUGUGGGGAGCAGGCGGCGCGGGCGUGCGGGGGCGUGCGGCCGAGCGGCGCAGCGCGGGGGGCCCAAAGCAGGGGGCCCAGCGGGGGAGAGGGGAGAAGCAUUUUUUUUCCCCUCUCUUCAUUUCUUUUUUUUUUUUUUUCUUUGCCCUUUUUCUUCAAAUUUGUUUUUUAUUUUAACUGGCCGUGCUCCGGCACGAAUGUGAGCCGAGGGCCGGAGCCCUAACGCUGCGCUCUCCGCAUUCAGCAGGCCUCAUCGUUGAGGGCGCGUGAGGGUGGCUCGCGGGGCUCACGGGGGUUCCUGCACGCGGUCCACGGAGCGGGCGCCUCAUGGUGGACCGGCUGAGGGAGAGGGGUUGUGGACCCCUCUCUCCCUCUUUGUUGAUCAAUAUAUAUAUAUAUAUAUAUAUAUAUAUAUGGCCUAUGAAAUCUAAUGUCCUUGAUUCUAUGAUAUUCCCCUUUUCUCAAGUAGUNNNNNNNNNNNNNNNNNNNNNNNNNNNNNNNNNNNNNNNNNNNNNNNNNNNNNNNNNNNNNNNNNNNNNNNNNNNNNNNNNNNNNNNNNNNNNNNNNNNNGCCUUGUAUGCCUUGCAGUUGUACAUCUACAGUAGCGGUAGUUGUAUUUCAUAUAUAUAUAUCUCGGUGUCAUUAUCGUUGUAUAUAUCCCUUUACUUACCCAUACUGUUGGUUAUCUCUUCUUGAUCGUGUGAGUACUCCUCGCUUCGUUCGGCUUGGGUACCCACUGGGAGGGGAGAAUGUUUACAUGUCUCACCUCCCCCACCAUUUUUCAGGAUAUCCGCGGCGUGAUGAGUAGUAGUGGGACGAGACGUAAGGUACGUGUUCUGUGUAGCGCGUCGAUAGAGCUUCCGACCCAGGUUUAUUUCGGUAUGUUAUUACCCUUAUUACUUCAGUGGGUGAUAGCUUAGAUGCUAUAUGGUUCAGUAUUUUAUUACAUUUGAAAAUAAUUGCAUGUUCGUGAAUGUAAUAAAUGGAAUUUGGCUGAAAUAAAUACGGUUGUUCUACCCCUCUGGGUUAGCGUUUUUGAAAGAAUAAGGUUUCCGUGUUUAGGAAACAGUUUGUCAAAGUUUUCUGUGAUUUGCAUACUUAGUAUUUCAAAACCUUAUCUUGUGGUGGAAACAUUUUUAACUGAUAGAUGUGAGAUUUAGUGUUAAUUGAGUCGAACAUAUAAAUGUGACUGUGAUUGUGAUGGUGUAUGAAUAAUAUAGUCUGUUGGUUAUUUGUAUGUGUCAUUGGUUGUGGUUGUACCUGGGUUACUUCUUGUACUUGUGUGCGCGCGAUGAAAUACAGGGAGACUGUCGAAGAAGUGCUUGUGAAACAGGCAUUCCCUGUGUUUGUGGCGAUUGGCAUAAUCGAUGCGGUCGGCUUUCAAAAGAAAAAAAAAAAAAAAUUCCAGAUGUCUUCGCCUAUGUUUUAAACUAAAAGGGACCCCGGGGCCAGGACAUGUAUUUUAGUAUCAUCUGUCUAUUACACUUAUACAGUCUCUUACGUUUACUACUGUUCCUACUGUAUUCGCCAUGACCGUACUGUUUUAGCCUUGAUCGGUAGUACUCCUCGCCUUCUUCGGCUUGCGCUACCCACUGGGAGUGGAGACGUGUCUUAUAUGUUCUCAUCUCCCCACAUUUUUUCAGGUUCGCGGCGUUGAGUAAGGUGGGACGAGACGUGAGGUACGUGGUUAAGCGGCGAUAGAGACUUCCGACCCGGUUAUUUCGAUUUAGCCUAUUACCUUUUUAUUUCUCGUGGAUAUUUAUAGCUUAGUCGGUCUCAUGGUUCAGUUUAUUUUAUUAUUUGAAAUCUGAGUUUUCAGUUGGUUUUGGAAUGUAAUAAAGGAAUUGUGUUUUUGAAUAAAGGUUUUCACCCUCGUGGUGCGUUUCUUAAGAUAUAAGUUUCCGUGUAGGACAGUUCUUCAAAAAGAAUUUCGGUGAAUUUCUAUUAAACACUGAAUGCUAAAACUGGAAAUCGUGAAUGGUGAAUGUGUGAAUCGUAUAGUUAUCUUUAUAUUAUUAGGUUUUGUUGUGGAUUGUUUCGGCUAUAUCUUGUAUUGUGCGAGCCGUGCAAAUACAGGGGAGACUCUGUCCGUGUGAACAGUGGCAUUCCCUAUAUUUGUGGCGGACUGGCAUACCCUGGGGUCAGGUUUGCAAAAAAAAAAAAAAAAAUUUUUUUUCGCUGUGUUUUUAACCUAAAGGGACCCCGGGGCGUGACAAUCGUCAUCAUCAUCACCGGCGCCGACACAUUAUCAACUUCGCCACCUUCGCCGCCUUCGCACAAUUAAAGUAUUUUGAUUUAAUCUGAAUUUUUUUUUUAAUAUACCUUUAUACUGUUUUAAUCAAAUAUAAAUGAUAUAUUUUUUUAGUAAUAUUUUUUUUUUCAUUUUUGCUAUUAUUUUUCUUAAAUAUUCUCAAAUAUUUUUAAAAUAAUAUCAGUUUUUAUUUAUCUCCGUCGUCGACACCGGUUCAUCAUCACAUCACUAGCGCCGUCACAUUAUCACCUUUGCCAUAGUUAGAGAGGUCUUUUGAUUUCAUCUGUUUUUUUUUUUUGUAAUGUGCCUUUACUCUGUUUUAGAUUUUUUUUUUUAGUAUUUUUUUAUUUUUAUCUAUAUGUUUUUCAAAUAUAAAACAUAUAAUUUUUUUAGUAAUAUUUUUUUUAUUUUUACCUAUAUUUUUCUUAAAUAUUCUCAAAUAUUUUUUUAGUAAUAUUAAUUCUCAUUUGUCCCCAUUGUCGGUACCGGCGUCAUCAUUUUCCUCAUCGUUAUUGUCGUCAUCGAUGCUGAUACAUUAUCGCCUUCCCCACCUUCUAUACUACGUACUACUACUAUACUAUUUCAGUUUUUUUAGAUGUUGUAGGAAUGGUUGUCCAAAUCAAUUACUCUUUAUUUAUAUGGUAUUAAUCGUCCUAAACGUAAAGGUAAAAUAUUUCUCUUUUUAUCAUUUCACAUGAAUAAAGUUAUUAAUAACUAAUUAUUUGGAUGGAUUGAAGUAUGAAUCGAAUUAGAUUAAUCCUCUAGGAGAAGAUAAUGCUAACACACAUUGGCAUGAAAAAAUUAUUAAUAAUUAAUUAUUUGGAUGAAUUGAAGUAUGAAUCGAAUUAGAUUAAUACUUUAGGACAAGAUAGUGCUAUAACACACAUUGGCAUUUGGAGAGACACUAUUGUAAACAAUUCAGUUGUUGUAUAAAAACAGUACACGUUAAUAUGGAUAAUUAGGAUAAAUGUACUUUUUAAUAUUUUAUUUUUUUUGUGGUAUUUUAAAUUUAUUUAUUAGGAUCAAUUUAUUAGCAAAGUUUUAUGAGUAAAAUUGUGCUUAAUCCACCUAUUCCAAAAACUCAAGAAAUAAAAUUAAGCUAAAUUUUUUACGUAUAUGAAUUUUUAUUAAAUUUAUAUUUUUUUUAAUUUUAUCUAUUCUGAUGAUUUACUAAUAUUUAUUUUAUUAUUUUUCUUACUUACAAUGCAAUUUGUACGGAAUGGAGACUGAUGGUGACAUUUUCAGUUAGUUUAGUGAUGAAUUUUGUAUUUUUUUUUCAAUGAUACCAUGAUAGAUUUUGUGUUCUUACUUUUAUGAUAUUGUAAUUCUAUUUCCUAUUUCUGGUAUUUUAUUUUGGUAAUGAUUAAAUACUAUUUAUCGAAUCUAUAAUAUUUAUUUAUAAAUUUUUUUUUUUAGUAUUGUGUGACGUGCAUUGCACGUGCACUUAACUAGUAUAUAUAUAUAUUCGAGCUUUUCGAGCCUAAUUCAAGAGAAUCCAGUAAUAGUCAAGCCCUGCUUAAAAUAAAUUAUGAGUUUUUUUUUUUAUCUUUUCGAGCCUAAUUCAAGAGAAUCCAAUAAUAGUCAAGCCCUGCUUAAAAUAAAUUAUGAGUUUUUUUGUUUUAUUCAAGUUUGGCUCAUUUAAUUUCAAGUCAAGCUCGAGUGAGCCGAAUAUCGAGUCGAGUCGAAUGCGAAUUGAACAUGAGCUGGCUCGCUCAUUUGCUAGGCCUACAAAAGGGGAGAUAGAGAGGGUAGGGUAGAGAGAGAUAGGGAAAGGGAUAGAGAAAGCGCGAGAGAAAGGGAGAGGAAAUAAAGGAGAGGGACGAAUCUGGAGGGGAAGGGUCGAUCGUGACUGUUUAAACGCGUAGCGAGGGGGAGGAGAGAAGGGUAGAGAGAGGGAAGGGAUAGAGAGACGCAGGAGGGAUGAAGGAGAAGAGGGAGAUACAUCUGGGGAGGGUUAGCAAUCGUAAGAGCGGGAGAUAGAUAGAGGGGAGGGAAGAGAAAGAGAGAGAGAACGAUGCAUUUAAAGAGAGGAGAUGUUGUUGAGAGGCCGCAAUGCGGCGAAAGCAAUAGUACGAAUGCCAUUGGAGGACCGGCAAAUUAUACAUUGUUAAGAUUCCCUGGACAUUUGAUGCUGUGCGUGCACAAACGAGUUUCUCUUGUCUCCACGUGGUAGUCUAGCACAGCAUUGAUUCCAACUUUAUUCCGCUUCCGAAGCAUACACCGCGACAGUUUUUUUUUGCCAAUAUAAGGUCAAAUAGAUUCGAAAUCCAACGCAUCUAAGAGGUUUUGUUUUUGGGUUUGGAGCAAUCAGAUCGUAGUAGUAAUUUAUUUGUUGGUUGGUGGACACUGUUGGAUCCCGCCAUCAAAGAAGGGAUCCAAAACUCUCUCUCUUUUGUCCUCGUCAUCACGGGCCUACACAUAGGGCCCAGGAAUGAUACGCAAGCCAAGAAAAUUAAGUCGAAUUUAAUGGAAGCAUACAAUGACACUGUCCAUAUAUAUUUCCAUCGUCUGCUCUGUACACAUGCAUGAUGAUGCUUCUUAUUCAACCCGGAUCCGGAUCGGAUAAAGGGCAAGGCAACAUACACGUAAACUUCUCACCGUUCAAUGUGUAACAAUUAAAUCGGCAUACAUCGAUCGUCGUGUUCUAAUCCACAUUUUUUUCAACUUUUCUUUUUUUGGGUGUGUCACUCCAACUCGGUUACGUCAGGAGACGCCAUCGGCACGACGGCGUUGCUGCCGGUCUCCUCUUCGGCGGCCGCUAACUCUUCCGACAGCUCCGACUGAUCCCGGCUCGGAUCGUAGCGCUGGAUGACGAGCACCGACGUCGUGGUGGACGUGAACUCUGACGACGCCAGGUAGCUUCCGAUGGGCCCCAGCUCCGGGCAGUCUGCCCUCUCGAGUAGUGGCUCCGCGGGCGGCGACCGGCCCACCAGGAAGAGGUUGAACCUGCCCAUCUCCCUAAUCGCCGCCAGCACCUCAGCCCUCCCGGCCGAGGCCUUCUCCUCGUAGCUGACGGACGCGCCGUCGGGCCUCGCCUUCGAUGCUUUCGCCUUGAACGCCUCGACGGCCGCGUCGUCGGUGGCGCGGUCGGCUUCGUCGGAGUCUACGCGCGCGGCACGGGCGAAGCGGGCGAGGGUGACGGCGAUGCCGGGGUGCUCGGCCAUGCGCGCGGCGAGGGCGAGGGCCUCGCGGUCGUCGGGCCCGCCGAAGAAGAGCGCGGCGACGGAGAAGACGACGUCUCUGGAGGGGACCUGCGCGGCGCCGCCGAGGCCGCGGUCGACGAGGAGGGCGACGGAGCAGGGCGCGGCGCGGAGGACGCGCUUGUUGACGAGGCGGUAGGCGUGGCCGAGGGACUCGAGGGAGCCGUCGAGCUGCAGCGUCUUGUGGAAGGGCAGCAGGAGGAGCGCGGCGCGCUUGCGCAGCGCGCUGUCGAUGAUGUCCCGGUGGAUGGUGGCGAGGUCCGAGAUGGCCGUCAUCGGCCGCACCGAGACCGAGCUCAGCCGCCCGUACGCCUCGAACGCCACCUGCACCACCUCCCCGCCCUUGCCGCCGCUGGCGGGCACGGGCACGCCGUUGCGCCGCGCCCGCUGCACCAUCGAUAUCGCCGACGACCGCUCCGACAGCUCCACCAGGUGCACGGCGUAGACCGUCAGCCCGCGGCGGCGCGUCCCCCGCGACGACUCGACGACGUUGAUGAUGGUGGGGAUGUUGCGGCUGGUGUGGAAGCAGGCCAGCACCCGCAGCUCGCUCCCGGCGUCGGCGCGGUCGACGGCGCGGUGCUUGUAGGGCGCGGCGCGGCGCGCGGGCUUGUAGAUGGCCAUGACGACCGGGGUGGUGAGGAAGGUGGUGACGAGCGCCAUGAGGACGAGGAUGGCGAAGGACUCGUCGUUGAGCACCUUGCGGUCGAGGCCGAUGUUGAGCACGAUGAGCUCGACGAGGCCCUUGGUGUUCAUGAGGAAGCCCAGCGUGAGGGACUCGCGCGCCGGCACGCGCGCGAGCCGGGCGGCCAGGAAGGUGCCGCCGAUCUUGCCGAGGCAGGCGUUGGCGACGACGAGCGCGAGCAGCCCCCAGGACCUGGCGCCGCGGAUGGUGGCCACGUCGGUCUUGAGGCCGCUGGACACGAAGUAGAGCGGGAGGAAGAGGCCGGAGACGAGGUCCUCCACCUUCUCGAUGAGCACGCCGGCGAAGGGCCCGUCCUUGGGGACGAUGAUGCCGACGACGAAGGCGCCGAAGAGCGCGUUGAUGCCGAUGGCGUCCGUGACGAAGCCCGCGGCGAGCACGGCGGAGAGGGUGGCGCAGAUGUAGAGCUCCCUGACGGGCUCGCCCUCGGGGGAGCGGCGGGCCAUCCAGGCGAGCGCGGGGCGGAGGAGGAGCGCGAGGGCGGCGAUGAAGGCGGCGGCGGUGAGGAGGACCCAGAGCGCGACGAGGGGGGAGCCGGAGCCGGAGAGGGCGACGGCGAGGGCGAGGAGGACCCAGGCGACGACGUCGUUGACGGCGGCGGCGGACAUGGCGACGCCGCCGAUGUCGGUGGUGAGGAGCUUGAGCUCGGCGAGGAUGCGGGCGAGGACGGGGAAGGCGGUGAUGGAGAGGGCGACGCCCAUGAAGACGAGGAAGGGCCCCUGGCGGGCGCCCUUGACGACGGUGGCGCGGAGCACGAAGGGCAGGGAGAUGCCCGCCAGCGCGAUGGCCAGCGCGCUCUUCCCCGUGCGGCGGAUCGCCCGCAGGUCCAGCUCCAGCCCCACCAGGAACAGGAAGAAUAGCAGCCCGAUGUUCGCCACCGUGUCCAGCACCGUCAGGCUCUGCUUCGGGAACACCGCCUUCAUGAACCUGCUGCUCCGCCCCAGCGCCGACGGCCCCAGCAGGAUCCCGCCCUGCCGCCCAAUAGUAAUUCAUUCACCACCAUCGAUCACUCAAUUAAUUAUUUCUUUUUAUUUUUUUUUAUUUGUCCUCAACCAACUAAAAACCUAGCUAGCUCAGUAAACCCGGACCCGGCCCUAUUACAUACACAAAUAUAAAGAGAGGAUGCAGAUCCUGGGCAAAUGAGAUGUGAUGCAGAGUCAUCAUUACUAAUAAUAAUGCGUGCGUACUUUAGAGAAAGGGACACGACGAACAAUUAAAAGGUUUAUAUAUGAUGUUACAUAUCAGGGUACAAAUCUUAUGCUGGUGGUUGAGUUGACGAGUGAAGAAUAUUCUUCGGCGGCAAUCUUUGUGGGCUCCAAAAAUUUGAGUAAAUACUUUUACCGCACGAAGUUCAUGAACUAAAGCGGCGGAUUUAUUCUUGUUUGACAUUUUGUAAUACCAUCUCUCUUUAUUAACUACGUACGUGUGAAGUUCGAAUAUUCCUGUUGAUCGAAGAUUUGAUCUCACGCCUAAUCAAUAAUAUCACAACAAAAGUAAACUUUAAAAUUUUUCUAUUUUAAGGAAGUAUACAAUAACUAUUUUCGAAAAAAAAAAAAAAGAAGCAACAAGUACCUGUUUCCCAAGCUCACACGAUCGAAUAAUUAAUUAAUGAUCCUAUAUUAUUAUAAUUCACUAUUAUAUAUGUAGCCCAAAUUUUUGCCAAUUUGCUAGCAUGAUGACUGACGCAUGCAUGGUUUAUGCUGUGAAUAAGAUAACGAGCUGAUUUGUUAAUUUUCUUGAUGAAUGACGACUAGUCAAUUAAAUUGUCGGAAAUGGAAGCUAGCUAUUUGUUGUUGGUGAAUUGCAAUAGAAUUAUUGUUCAAGCCAGCCGCAAAUUUCAUUGAUUUGAAAACUGAAAUGAUGAUUACGAUUUAGACGAAGUUUAGGAUUACUUCUUUUUUUUUUUUUUUUUAACAGAAAAAAAAAAAACCUGGUAACCUGGUGGCUCUAGUGCAAUUAAGUAGAGCAGCGAAAUUAACUCACGAUGAUCUCAGCGACGACGCGGGGCUGGCGGAGGGGGCGGAGGAGGAAGGCGAGGACGCGGGUGAGCACGACCACCAGGCAGAUCUGCAGGAUGAUCAGCGGCAGCGCAAAGUGCAGCGGGUCGUCCCCCUGCCACGCCCCGUUCGACGUCGCCUUCAUCGGCGCCGGGCAUGAUGCCGCCGCCGCCGAACCCGACAUCAAUCCCGGCCUCCCUCCUCUCUCGCCGCCGCCUCCUCUUUUAAUUCUCUCCGACACAAAGUCUGGUCGGUUGGCUCAAGACGAAACAACAAAUCAGAGAAAGAGAAAGAAGUGAGAUUAGUUUCGUCGUUUUUGCGAGUGGAUGAUACUCGGUGGAUCGAGUUAAUUUCUAUGCAGAGGUGCGUGUUGGUCCUCUAUUUAUAGCCAAAUCUCGCUCCCCUUUCCAUCAAAACCGUUUUUACCAAACUACCCUCCUUCAAUUCGGUGCCAUUAAAUAUUUGGAUAAGAGAUAAAUUUAAAUUUUAGUGAAAAACAUUCCGAAUUUAUUGAGCUAUUUUCAACAUAAUUAUCUAAUAUUUUACAAUUUUGAUUUUGCUGGUCAAUUUUUUAAUUUGUUUAAUUUUAGUCGGACAGCGACAUUUUGAUUUUAAAAUCUGAAUAUGACUUUUAUUUUGAUUUUAAAAUUUGAAUUAUAAAUUUUAUUUUUAUAGACUUAAUUAGUAUAUAUAUUUUAAAUAUUUUUUACAACUAUAUAAUAAAUUUGAAUUUAUUAAAGUAAAUAAUAGGCAAGGUCACUUUCUUGUGAGGUAACACCAUCCCAAUUUUGAAAAUUAAACAGCUUCAUUUGUGGGACUAAUUGAAUUUAUUUAAUUUACAAGUUACAAAGAUUCUUACGGCCACCGUAAUUUCUCAAAAAAAUAUCAUUCUUAUGUCGGCAUGCAUCUGUAAAUCUUUUAAAUUGCAUCCCCUGCAUUUCAAAUACUUUUAAUCUAUGACACAUAAUGAUGCUUUGGAUUUUCUCCAGUGUAAAACUUGUUUUCACUGAUGUAAGUAAGAAUUCUGUAUAAUUUAUUUUUUUUGGAAACUUUAGAUAUGAGAAUAAGAGUUCGGCUAUAAUGUUAUCGAUAGCAUCAAGCAGUUGGUACUAUCAUAUUUUCUGCCAUGAAAUCAAACUCUUUAAUCAUUUUCAUCCGUUAGAUCAUACUAUUCAACCAACCACCAACUCAAUUAGAGGACCACUAUCGUCAUAACCGUACAUCGCUUCAUUUAAGGGCCGAAAACUUAAUAGCACCAAUGAUUUGGUGGUAUUAAUAGUAUUAUAUCCUAGUUCUAAGAAUAAUCCCACAUAGAAUCAUAAUAACUUGAACCGUGCGUUUGGUUCGCAUUAUGAAAGAUUACUAAGAAUGAAAAGAUAUCCGAGAAUCUUAUUCUUAUUCAUCCUAUUACUAAGAAUGUGGAAUUCCUGUGUUUGGUUCGCACCGUAAUAUUAUUUAGCCAUAUUAUUUAAUAUUACAAAAAAUAUAAUUAAUUAAUUUAUUUUUUUAAUUAAUUUUAUAUAAUGUUAUCAAAAGUUUCAACAUCUUUUUUAAAAAAAGGGAGAGAGAGUAUAAGUUAGAGAGAGAGAGAUCAUAACUAAAAAAAUAGAAAGAAAAAUAUAGUCGAAAUUAGAGGGAGUGAGAGAGUUGAAAUUUUAGAAAGAGAGAGAGAGAGGGAAAGCUUAGUCUAGAGAGAGAAAAAAAGUUGAAUUUUAGAGAGAAAAAUAAGUUUAGAGAGAGAUAUAAGGUUAGAGUGUAAAGAAAAAUAAUAUCAAUUAGCCGACGAAUAGGAAGAAAGAAGAGAUUAGACAUAUUAUUAUAAUUAACCCAAUCCAUUAAUAUGAGGAUACCCACCCUCACUCAAGGGAAUGAGAUUAGCACUUUGGGGUUGUUGGGCCAAUUCGGCGCGGACAGCUGGCAAGCCGGAACUACAUCCAUGAUCCAUGUCAAAAUGGUAGACCGGGAGUAUAUAAGACGCGCCAGAAGAUAUGAGUCGCGUUUGUUCAAAAAGUUGUAGCAACCACAAGCGGUUAUGAACAGUUCUAAUCGGCCGAAGGUGGUCCUCCAAAUCAGGAGAUAGUGGCCGAUCGUGCGGUGACGAUAACUAAACGCAAGGGCAACUUUAUAAAUAGGCAUACGGCACCCUGAAAAAGGGUCUUUUCCUGCAUCUUUCUUUCCUACAUUUACCGCUUUUCCUAGGAGUAGUUCUCGUAACUUAGCAUCCUGGAGUCUGACUGCCCAUCGGGCAUCACUCCGUUGUAGACUAAAAACUCUUCUCUUUGUACUCUCUGCUGUUAUAUUCAAUAGAGGGCUAUUAUCGGCUUUUCAGGCCGAUCAGUUUCCUGCGUUGUUUAGCCAUUCGGCUCAUCUUUCAGUCGAAUUCUGGGCUUCCCCUCUUCAUUCGGCUCAUCCUGCCGAAGCGAGUUUACUGUAGAGGUCUUCGAACCCGGCUGAUUCGAUCCCUCAUCGGCCGAAUCGCUUGAUCCGUUGUAGGCGUAAACUUCGAGGGUCACCAUCCACGGCCGCUCAUCAUCCCGACGUUCUUCCCGAGGAGAAUAUUUGACCGGGUCAAGGGUCGGGACUUUCGGCCACCAACAAUUUUUGGCACACCCAGUGGGACUCUAUUAAGGUAAAUUUACAUUUUAUACAGUAUGGCUGAUGAUAACGCCAUAAAUCUCCGUAAUAGGGCUAUUCCCAGAAAUUCUGGGAGUGAACAGCCCAGUAAUUCGGAGAAUGUGGUAGAGCGCCAAGCAGUUUUACCUGUUGAGGGUGAGACCAGCGGUCAAUCUGGCCAACAAGAAUCUAGUUUGACCCCGGCGCUUGGACAAAUGACACGGGUCCUACAAGUUUUGGACCAAAAUAGUCAGGCGAGUACCGCACGGCUUGACGCCGUUUUGGCCGCGAUUACGGCUUCUAACGAGAACAUUGCCCGAAUAGGGCAAUUGUUAACUCGAAACGAAUAGCCAACAACAGGCUUGCAAAUGCCUGUGAUAACGCCAGUGUUACAGAAUCCAGUAACACCGGUAGUUGGUCAGCCCCAAUACCAGGGGGCACAGUAUCAAGCGGCUUAUAGACCGGUUGUUGGUAACGUCGGUCAACAGCCGGAAGUGGCUUGGGGGUUACCUCCACCCCCUCCAGUUGCAGUCUACCAGCCCCAAAAUGUAGGGGCUAGGGGGCAGGCUUUGAAUGUACAAGGGAUUAAUCCCUUAGUACAAAAUCUCGGUGCACAACAACCACCGAACCCGGUACCAGCGCAGGUUCCUUUCCAAGGAAUUAAUAAUGAGAUAUAUGCGCAAAUAGAAGAGGCCAUCUGAAAUACUUUCGGAGUAGGCGCAAGGCCGGCAAUGCGGCCCCGUAUUCAGAUCACCAUAUCCUGCUAAUAUAGAUGUAGAACAUCCAUAUCCGGCAAAUUGAAAUUUGACAAGUUUUCUGGCGAUGAGAUCGAAAAUACGGUCGAACAUGUCGCACGGUUUACAGCUCAAUGCCAUGAAGCAGCGGCAGACCCAUUUUUGAAGCUAAGAUUAUUUAACACUUCAUUAACAAAGACGGCUUUCACUUGGUAUACAAGUCUACCCGCUAAUUCCGUCCGAGAUUGGGAUGAAUUGGAGGGUAAAUUUCAUAAACAAUUUUAUAGAACUGAGCCAGAAUUGUCAGUUGCGGAUUUGGCUCAAUUUAAACAGAGAACAGGGGAAUCGGUUGAUGAAUAUUUAAACCGAUUCACGUCGGCUCGAAGUCGAUGUUUCGUAAGAAUGCCGGAAUUGGAAUUUGCCAAAAUGGCAUUCAACGGCAUGCACUUUAAGAUUAAAGAUCACUUUGAAGAUAAAUUAUUUCCAAAUCUUUUCGAUUUGGGAGUUCGAGUUGCUCAAUACGAGCAAUUUCGAAAAGGGAAUAAUGAAGAUCGGCCUAGAUUGAGCCGAAAUAAGGACUGGAACAAGGAAAAGGAGAAAAAUAUCUCUUUCCUUGAGAAGGCUUCGGCUCAUGAAGAGCCGAAUUCGUCUGAAGAGAAUGAGGAUUCGGCUGAUGAAGCCGAAAUUUGUGCAGCCGAGAUAGUGAGAAAUAAUCAACCAUAUAAAUAUGCUUUAUUAAAACCUGCUAAGUCAAGAGAGGCGAAAGCACAUAUGUCUGCUUUUAAUUACUCGUUUGACAUAUCAAAAACCGAUCUUAUUUUUGAUCGGUUGUUAAAAGAUGGACGAAUUAAACUACAGGAAGGCCAAACCAUACCUCCUAUAGAAGAACUAAAACGCAGAAAAUAUUACAAAUGGCACCAUUCAUGGAGCCAUAGAAUUAGUGAAUGUACUGCUUUCAAGAGGCAAAUUCAAAAGGAAAUAAAUGAGGGUCGGCUUAUCUUUGCCGACCAAGAAAAUAAGGAUAUGAAAAUUGAUAAGAAUCAUUUUCCAUCACAGGUCAACGCCGUGAACAUGAAGGGGAAAGAAAAAACGACUGCGAAAAGGCAGAUCCAAGAAGAAAUAGACGAGGGUCAGCUCAUAUUAGCCGACCAGGAAAAUGAAAAUAAAAUAAUUAACAGAAGUUCAUUUUCAUUUCAGGUUAAUAUGGUGAAUGUUAAAGGAAAAGAGAUUUUGGACAAGAAAACCGCAGACAACGUGGCCCAUGCCAAAAAACAUCUUCGGCUCUGCAUAAGGUACAAGGCCGAAAUGACAAAAGAAGAUUGGGAAGCCAUUGUGAAUGCUAAGAAAAGGGGGAACGAAUGGAACGAGUUAAUGGCGUUCCCGGAGGAAUGGGAUGACAUUCCUGAUGGUGAAGACCAAGAAGAAGAAGGCUCGGACGCGGCCUCCAAUGACACUGAACCGAAAGUGAAAUCGGUUCAACGCAAACAAGACAUGUUGAUGCAGAAGAUUCUGCAUGAUUACUACAACAACAGGCGUGAAGAACGUCAUGGCCGAUGGGACUACCAGGAUAGACCAUUCGGCUCCAAGCAAAGGUUCCCUGGAUAUCGGCCACACUAGCAACAGCAAGCCAAGUCGAGACCAGAACCGGAAUUCGAAGGAAUGACCGAGGGAGACAUAGAAUUUCUCGGUCGGAGGCUAGUCAACGAACUUGGCAUUCAGCCUUGGCCGAGACCAUGGGAAAGAAGAGAAAUUCUGAAAAAUUAUUUAAGAGCGGUAAAAGUACCGGCGAAUGUGCCAGUAGAUGAAUGGCACGAAGUUGAAGUCAGACCAUCGGCCAGGUGGCAUGGGCCGAUGUUAACAAAAACUCAAAAGCGUUGGCAACAGAGGUUGCAAGCCGAGGCGAGACAAAAUUAUGAAAAGGCGAAAGGGCUGAGGUUCAAUGUAUGGAGACGCCCUAAUGAGCGGUCACACCCUUUUCGUCAAAUGAGAAAUGACUAUGAGGCAAGCGGCUCAUCGCCUGCCCUCCAGUUGAAGUCAAGAGUAGAACGGCCAACCGAGGCCGAAUCAGAAGAGAAAAUGACCAGGAGGGAGUUAGAAGAUAAAAUAGCUUCCCUCGAGACGAUGAUCAAAAGAGAAAGAUGGCCUCCUAAAGAGAGGGAGGUCCGUAUGGAGAGUGACUCUUCAACCGAAACGACCAAGGAGUCAAAAGAGAAGAAACAGAGAAUUAAGGGAAAGUCGGCUGAUGAAUCACCUGCCGAGGUGAGUAUGGAAUAUGCUCUGCCUCAAUCCUUCAAGGUAGAGUUUGUUGAGUACGAGGAAUUCAGAGAAGAAGAGGAAGAUGGGCUUACAGUAGCCCAAUUGCAACUAGAGGAUACUCAACAGGCCGAUGCAGUGGUUUUUGAGAGACCAUCGGCCAUGCAGACGAGGUUCAUAAGGCCUCUCUUUAUAAAACUUUAAUAGAAGGUCGGCCGGUAGGCUGAGUUAUGGUAGACAGCGGUGCUAUGGUCAAUGUGAUGCCUACUUCCUUUUUCAAGAAAUUGGUAAAGAUGAGGACGAAUUGAAGCCCACCGAUUCAAUCAUGAUCGAUUUCAUAGAAAACGGUCAACAAGCUCGAGGAGUGCUCACCACCGAACUCACGGUAGGUUCAAAAACUUUAAAAACUGUGUUUUUUGUAGUGGAUGCAGAUAGCCACUACAAUUUAUUAUUGGGACGAGAUUGGAUACACUCGAAUGAGUGCGUACCCUCUACACUCUAUGGGAAACUGUUCCAGUGGAUAGGAUACAAGGUAGAAGAAAUCCGGGCCGAGGGACGGCCUCAAAUGGUAGAUGUCAACAUGGAGGACAUCGGCCACACCAAUUGGGCCGAUGCUGAUCCAGAUCAGAUUUCGUUUGUAAGAGUAACGGAGGAGGGGAUUCAAUUAAUUCUCUCCAAANGGAAACUGUUCCAGUGGAUAGGAUACAAGGUAGAAGAAAUCCGGGCCGAGGGACGGCCUCAAAUGGUAGAUGUCAACAUGGAGGACAUCGGCCACACCAAUUGGGCCGAUGCUGAUCCAGAUCAGAUUUCGUUUGUAAGAGUAACGGAGGAGGGGAUUCAAUUAAUUCUCUCCAAAGAUAUCAAUGCCAUGGUGACUGAUGAAGAGCCACCUAGAUGGUUAAAAUGGAGUCCCAAAAGCUGAGAAUAGAGGCUUGGCAUAAGCCUCGACAAGAUGAGCCGAUGAACAAGAUCGGCUGUGAGGAUGAUUCGGCUGCUAUAGCCGAUGUGUUAGCACCCGACAAUUUGGCCAAUAAGGCCGAAGAAGCUAUAAAAGAUUCGUCUCAUAAAGCCGAAGAAGAAGGUCAAAUGAAAUCGGUCAUGGAGACUGAUAAAUCAUAUAAGAUGAAUAGACAAACAGCGAAAAUGAAGCUAGAAGAAUCGCCUAUUAAAAUCGGCGAGAAAAAGCUGGAGACCCAGGAUUUGUUGAUAGAAGUAAACCUAGGGUCUUUUGAAGACAAUAGGCCGACGUUUAUAAGUUCCAAGCUGUCGGCUCAGCAACAGGAAGAACUGAAGAAGCUGUUAAAGGAGUACAAGAAUUGCUUCGCCUAGAGCUAUGAAGAAAUGCCAGGUCUAAGCCGAGAGAUUGUAGAGCAUAAGCUGCCCAUCAAAAAAGGGUUCAAGCCUUUUAAACAACCGACUCGUAGGUUUGAGCCGAGUAUUGUACUUCAAAUUAAAAAUGAAAUCGAAAAUCUUUUAAAGGCCGGAUUUAUCAGAGCGGCCCGUUAUGUUGAUUGGGUGUCUAAUAUAGUAUCAGUGCGUAAAAAGAAUGGCAAACUUAGAGUUUGUAUUGAUUUUAGAAACUUGAAUUUAGCUACACCUAAAGAUGAAUAUCUAAUGCCAAUAGCUGAUAUGCUAGUAGAUUCGGCUGCCGGUAAUGAAAUUCUGUCUUUUAUGGAUGGACAUGCUGGUUAUAAUCAAAUUUAUAUUGUUGAGGGAGAUGUCGCUAAAACGGCUUUUAGAUGCCUCGGAUCAAUUGGAAUCUUUGAAUGGGUUGUUAUACCAUUCGGCUUAAAGAAUGCCGGAGCUAUUUACCAGAGAGCAAUGAAUUUUAUUUUCCAUGACUUAAUCGGCAAAAUGUUGUAAGUAUAUAUCGAUGAUAUAGUCGUCAAAUCCAAGUCACAAGCCGAACAUUGGGUUGAUUUAAGGCUCGCCUUUGAAAGAAUGAGAAAAUAUAAUUUGAAAAUGAACCCUUUGAAAUGCGCUUUUGGAGUUUCAGUAGGAAACUUUUUAGGAUUUUUAGUACAUAAGAAAGGGAUCGAAAAUAAUCAAAAUAAGGCGAAAGCCAUAUUAGGAUUACCGCCGCCUAAAAGCAAAAAAGAAGUGCAAAGCUUGUUGGGAAAGAUUAAUUAUCUUCGGCGGUUUAUAUCUAAUUUAGCCGGAAGGAUUGGGGUUUUUACCCCACUACUUCGGCUGAAAGAUAAAGAAGAAUUCGUUUGGACAAAAGAACAGCAAGAGGCGUUUGAAAAUAUAAAAAGAUAUUUAUCAAAUCCUCCGGUACUGGUACCUUCGAAGCCAAAUCAGCCAAUGAAGUUGUACAUAUCGGCUGCGGACGAAAAUUUGGGAUGUUUGCUGGCUCAAGAAAAUGAAGAGAAGGAAGAACAGGCCAUUUAUUACCUAAGCCGGCGUCUGUUAGAUACAGAAAAACGGUACUCGGCUAUGAAAAAAUUAUGUUUUUCUUUAUAUUAUUCAUGCACAAAAUUGAGAUAUUAUAUUUUAUCAACUGAAGUAUCGGUAAUAUGCAAAACCAAUUUGGUAAAAUAUAUGUUAUCUAAGCCAGUGUUACGAGGACGAAUUGGGAAAUGGAUAUUAGCUUUAUCCGAGUUUUCCCUUAAUUACGUUCCUGCCAAAGCUGUCAAAGGCCAAGCUAUAGCUAACUUUUUGGCCGAUCACCCAUGUGUAGAGAUUAAGGAGCCGAAACAAAAUUUGAUCGGCUGCCAACCUUGGGUGUUGUAUUUUGACGGUUCAAAAACAACCGAAUCUGCAGGAGUAGGGAUAGUGAUACAAUCUCCUGAAGGUCAUGUUUGUCAAUUUGCGUUUAAAUUAGAUUUCGAUUGUUCCAACAACCAAGUCGAGAAUGAGGCCUUGAUAAUCGGCCUUGAAAUAUUGCAAGAAUUGAAAGCAAAGUCAAUCAAAGUCAUUGGUGAUUCACAGUUAGUAAUCAAGCAGGUUAACGGGGAAUACCGAUGUGAGAAUCCGAAUUUGCAAAAUUAUUUGAGAAAGACAAUAGAAUUAUUAUGCAAUUUCAGAGAAGCCGAAUUUGAACAUUUGAGCAGACAGAAAAAUGAAAAGGCAAAUGAAUUGGCCCAAUCGGCUUCAGGAUACAGAGAGCCGAAGUCAGAGUUAAUAGUAAUACAGAGGAGAUUACAACCUUCGGUCAUAUACGAGAACCGAUUAUAGCUUCUAUAGAAGUGAAAGAAGAUUGGAGAAAAUCAUUGAUCAAAUAUUUGGAGGAUCCUAAUAUAAGGGUCGAUUAUAAUAUUCGAAGAAGAGCUCUCGGCUAUUAUUUGUUGGAUGGUCAACUUUACAUAAGAACAGCCGAAGAAGUUCUAUUAAAAUGCUUAAGGCCUGAAGAAGCUCUAUUGGUAAUGGGAGAAACACAUGAAGGAAUAUGUGGAACCCAUCUAGCAGGAAAAAAGUUAAGAUGGACAAUUCGGCACCUAGGAUAUUAUUGGCCAACUAUGCAUCAAGAUUGCAUAGAAUAUAUUAAAGGUUGCCAAGAAUGUCAAUUUCAUGGCCCGAUUAAGAGGGUUCCUGCCUCUGAAAUGUAUGCCAUCAUUAAACCAUGGCCCUUUCGAGGAUGGGCCAUGGAUUUAAUUGGAGAGAUUCAACCGAACUCCUCGGCUGGUCACAAAUUUUUAAUAGUGGCUAUAGAUUAUUUCACUAAGUGGGUAGAAGCAAAACCCACUUGGUUGGUUACUCAAAAAGAAGUUAUCGAUUUUGCAGAAGACCAUAUAAUUCAUCGCUUUGGGAUUCCCGAGACAAUUACGACCGAUCAAGGGACAAUGUUCACAGGUGGACAGUUCGUUCGGUUCAUCGAGUCUCGAAAAAUAAAAUUGCUCCAUUCGUCUCCUUAUUAUGCCCAAGCGAAUGGACAAGUAGAAGCAGCGAAUAAAGUAAUCAUCAACCUCAUGAAACGACAUAUCGGAAAAUAUCCGAGAAAAUAGAAUGAAAAACUUUCCGAGGUAUUAUGGGCAUCUCGAACUUCAGUAAAAAUAGCAACAGGGAUGACACCAUUCCAGUUAGUUUACGGUCAUGAGGCCGUAAUUCCAGCUUAGAUAACAGUUCCUUUUUUGAGGACAGAAAAGCAAAAAGAUUUGUCAGCUGAUGCAUACAGUAAUUUAAUGAAGGACAAAGUAGAGGAAGUAUGUGAUACUCGGUUGAUAGCUUUAGAUAAUAUGCAAGUGUACCAAAGCCGAGUACGUAAUGCAUAUAAUAAGAAAGUUCGAUUAAAAACAUUUGUCGUUGGUGAUUUAGUAUUUCGGCUGGUUUUUUCGAUCGGUCAAAAAGACCGAAUGUAUGAAAAAUGGUCCCCAAAUUUGGAAGGACCAUUCCAGAUUAGCCGAAUCACAAGAGAAAAUGCAUAUUAUUUGCAAAACAGAGAUGGGUCAGAAAGUGAAAAACCAAUCAACAGAAAAUAUUUAAAAAAAUAUUACCCAUCCAUGUGGGAGCAUAGUCAAAAUCAGAGUUAGAAUAUUACAAGCCGAAUCAAGAUAACAAGUCUCUAAGUUGGUUCCAUUCGGCUAUAAGGUUGGCUUGGGCAGUUUCAGCAGCUUUUUUUCGGCGCUUCAUCAAAGGAUGCAUCUUGUAGAGUUGAGAAAGCUCUUCUUGAAUCUUCAUUUCUUCUGUCUUUCUGAACUUCAAUUGAUCUUGUAAUUGAAGUCGACGCUCAGAAGUUUGUGCCAGAGUAGAUUCGGCUGCUGCUAAUUCUUCUUUAAGAGUGAAAAUCCACUUUCUUAGAGCCGACUCUUGAUCGGACAGUUCUCUAUCCUCUUGAUGCACUUCAGCAAUUGGAGAUGCUAUAUUAGGAAUACUCUUCUUAAAAUGAUCAACACGGUGAAAAUGUUGAUCUGAGGCUACAAGUUCGGCGCCCAAAGAUCGCUGCCGAGACAAAAAACAUGAAAGUUGGAGUGAUAAGGUUGCUACAAAACAUUUGAUACCGGGGGUAAUAUCUGAUCGAUCGGCUAAAUCAAGUAAAAGGGCGUAUAGCCGAUCAAAUUAUUCUGGAUUCUGAGCUAGGCCAGGAAUACCAAUGCUAUACAUUUUAAGACAUUCAUCGAACUUGUUCUGGGUGUCCGAUAAAAUGGUAAUAGUCGAAGAAUCAUCCCCCUCGUUGGAGCUGGGGCUUGAAAUAAAAAAGAAUGAAGAAUUGCAGAUAAAGGAUCAUCAGGAGUAGGGGAAGAAGCUCCUUGGGUCGAACGGGAAGGAAUAGUGCUUUUGUCUCCAGAAGUUCGCCCGAGAGGUAUGUCUAUUCGUUCAUCCCUUGUAGUUGAUGUUGGGGCAGGAGCAGAACGAGGUGAUGCAACCUCACUGGGUAACGGCGUCGUGCUUGCCGUUUCAACAGAUUUUUUCUUCUUUUCCAUCCCUCUCUUUUUUUCAAGACGGGCUUCCCUGCGAAGCUGCCGUUUCAUCUGCAUCUUCGAAUAAUGAGCAAAAGGGGCUGGUUCAGGAGAGGACUGUAGUUUAAAAGAAAAUAAUAAAUAAUUAAGAAAUGUUCUUUUCAUACAGCUAAUUAAUUUGGCUUACCCCGACAUCAAUCGUUUCGGUUGGAACAGAGGUAGUCGAAGAGGGUGCAAUAGUUUUUUCGGACGGAAUGUCAGCCGAAGGACUAUCCUCGGCUCUGUCUUUAGUGGUAUCAGCCGAAGGGGUACUUUCGGCUUGUUGAAAUUUCCUUUUAACAACUGAUUUACGCCGUUUGGAAGACGGCGGGGGAGUGACUUGAACAACUUCAAUCGGUCUUUUAUCUGAAGCUGGGACCGAUGGAGAAGCAAGAAUCGACUGAAAACAAAAAUAAACAAAAAUGAUGAGUAGAGAAAAAGAUUAUGAUUAAGAUGAGUAGAGAAAUGAUAUUUUACCGAGAAAGAAGGCGGGGCAUCAGAAAUAGUUUCUGGUGGAGACUCAAUCUCGGUUGGAGAAUCUCUGCUCGGAGUAGUGGCGUGUAUAAAAUAAAAAAAGUUACAGCCAUAUUAGAAGAAAAUUAUAAACAAGUAUUAGAUGACUAACCAAGUGGAUGGAUGGUUUUGCGGAAUACUCGAGGCAGAGAAAGAUCAAAGAAGCUGUUAGUAAACUGAUCCCACGUGGUAGCAUAGCCGGCAAGGGCUACCUCUGUAUAGUUCGGACGGAAGCUUGCUAGCUGGAAGAAGCGUCUGAGACGAUUCCCCAUAGCCGAAAGCUUGUCAGCUUCAAAUAUACUCUUGGUGGGAGGACGAUGAUCGGUUGUGUUGGCCGUAAAAAAUUUAGAAGGAGCUGGGAUCGGCUGAAUGAACCCAAAUUGCCGCGCUACAUACUGAGGAGAAUAAACCUCAGUACUCGGUAAUAAUUUUGAACGUGAUUUAAGCCCCACAUGAAGAUCCCGGGGGGCUAGAUAGGAAUACCAUACAUCUGAAUAUUCACCGGCGCGAGAAGAAGAUAGCUAGCCCUGAAUGGCUUCAAACCGAGCCAGGAACCAAGAGGGGCCGGUGAGACGAUCGACAAAUGGAGCCCAAAAAUAGCUGAAUUAGAGGCUGGCUCAUAAAAAGCCUUGAAGUAAGUAAGAAAAUCAGAGGAUUGACCAGAGGUCAUCGGUUGUGGACAGCCGAGAGCUAGCCCAUAAGAAUCAAACUGGGCAGCUGAAAUCGGAUUGAAAGGAGAUUGGCAUAAAGCAGGAAUAUAGAACUGAAGAAAUAUUUGCAGAAACCAAAAAACGCCACACCCAGAACUGAUGGCAAUGCCAUCACCGGAAGGUAGUGACUUAAUGGAAUCAAAAAUUUCCCUGUAAAUGAAAGCAAGGAAAUAUGGCCCUAAGGCCAACUUAUCGCCAUUAGAUAAACCAAUGGCGAUCGGAAUAAAAUCCCGAUUGAUUUUCUGCGAACGAGUGCAGAAAAGAUUAUGGCACAACCAGUAUAGGAGGAGCACCGUAUGUUCCUUUCUGGUGACCGGGGCAGGGGAUUCAUUUGCAAAUUUUCGAAGAAAUUUGGAGUAAGCCAAAUUAUUAAGAUCGAGGUGUGCUUCAAAAUCAGACACACCAUCAGGAUUGUAGGCCAUAGAGAGGGUAACGCCAUGAGGGCGUAAGCCAACAAUGGCGGCUACAUCAAAAAGAGUGGGGGUAAGAGGUCCUCUUUUGAAAAGAAAAAUAUUAGAAACAGGGGACCGGAAAUAAAGAGCGGCGGGUAGAAGAAGAUUAUCGGCUAUAGAAGGGUGUAGAAAUAAUUGAAUCGCUUCAUAAAUGCCUACUUCCUGCCAGAAGUCGCCAAAAACGGAUUUUACUAUAUCUAACCAGGCCAAAUAUGCUUCAGAGACGCUUGGCAAAGUUCUGAGACUCUUUCCUGUCGAAGCUGAUGAGUACCAGAAAUGGAGAUGAAUAACUCUUUUCAAAGGAUGUCCCUCAUCAGAGAAAGGGGAGUCAGUAGGAGAUGGUUCAUCUAUAAGAGAAGGACCUAAUAUAAACCUAGAAGGAUCUAAAUCAACGAAGGGUUUGAGUAUAGUAUAGUCAAGAGACGAAUGAGAAGGAAGAGGAGGAACCAAAGACAUUGUUCAAAAAGAAGAGAGAAGCCGGAAGAUUCAGUUAACAAGUAUGAAAGGUGAAGGGAAGGAAACAAUAGAAGAAUGAAAGAGACGAAGGAGAAUGAAAGAGACGAAGAGGAGAAGACGGGGAAAAGAUAUAAAAGAUAGAAGAGACAAAAAGAAACUUGGGGAAGAAGAAAGGGCUAUCUGUCGCAUCGGUUACGAGUUCCGAGGUCGGCUAUAAUGACAAAUAGACAGCGGCAAUUAAGAUGACCUAAUUAACGCCGCAUAUGAGACAAAAGUAGAGAAUGUGAUCAAGGCCGUAAAGAAGAGAAUCAGCGGCCAAGAUUAAACCGUACAAAAGAUUGUGCUACGGAUUGCUGCAGAUUAUGUCAGAGAAUUUGAAUUCGAUUGGACCGAGGAAUACGCCUCGGAUCGCACUUGUGUUCAGAGGUUGAGACGAAAAGUAUACCAAGGGUUCAAAAGAUAACGCCAGCUACCGAAGCAUCACUUCGAAAGCUGCCGAGGGGGCAAUUGUUAGGCCAAUUCGGCGCGGACAGCUGGCAAGCCGGGACUACAUCCAUGAUCCAUGUCAAAAUAGUGGACCGGAGUAUAUAAGACGUGCCAGAAGAUAUGAGCCGUGUUUGUUCAAAAGGUUGUAGCAACCGCAAGCGCUUAUGAGCAGUUCCAAUCGGCCGAAGGUGGUCUUCCAAAUCAGGAGAUAGUGGCCGAUCGUGCGGUGACGAUAACUAAACGCAAGGGCAACUUUAUAAAUAGGCAUACGGCACCCUGAAAAAGGGUCUUUUCCCUGUGCGAACAAAAGACCACCCUUAUUUUCCUGCAUCUUUCUUUCCUGCAUUUACCGCUUUUCCUAGGAGUAGUUCUUGUAACUUAGCAUCCUGAAGUCUGUCUGCCCCUCGGGCAUCACUCCGUUUUAGACUAAAAACUCUUCUCUCUGUACUCCCUACUGUUAUAUUCAAUAGAGGGCUAUUAUCGGCUUUUCAGGCCGGCCAGUUUCCUGCGUUGUUUAGCCAUUUGGCUCAUCUUUCAGUCGAAUUCUGGGCUUCCCCUCUUCAUUCGGCUUAUCCUGCCGAAGCGAGUUUACUGUAGAGGUCUUCGAACCCGGCUGAUUCGAUCCCUUAUCGGCCGAAUCGCUUGAUCUGUCGUGGGCGCAAACUUCAAGGGUCACCAUCCGCGGCCGCUCAUCAUCCCGACGUUCUUCCCGAGGAGAAUAUUUGACCGGGUCAAGGGUCGGGACUUUCGGCCACCAACAGGGGUGAAUCUUAUUCCCAAGUGAAUCUAAUAUUACCAACUAGAUUAUUUAGUGUGUUUAGCCAAACACCGUCAUUUAUUUUUAUUACUAUUGGAUUACAAGGAAUCUUUAAAAGAUAGCGCGAACCAAACGCAACCGAAAAGUAAUUAAAGGAUUAUUGGUAAAUAUUGUUAGGUGACUUUUGUAGACGCAUCACAUUCUUGGACUUUAUUUUUUAUAUUCUCGGAUAGUUUUUGUAAGAAGUUUACUGAAUAAACUAACAAGCGGUCACCAGUGUCAACUUAUAUAUCCCUUUCUUUGCAGCUUCAUCUUCUUUUUUAAGUAAUAAUUAUGACUUAAACGGAUAAUAAGGACAAAGCACAAUUAGUCUUAUAUAAUAUUUAGCAAUGUGAAUUAAUCAUCUAGAGAGAGAGAUGUGAGCAGAAAAUACUUGCCCUUUCCAAAAAAAGUAUAAAAUAUACUAGUUAUAUUAUUGCUACGACGUUUUCAACCAAUCUGAUUAUUUCCUUUAGGUUCACCAUUUCAUCAUGAUUAUUGAAAAAAUAAUUUCAUUGAAUUUUGCUUUUAAAAAAAAAAUGUAAUAUCGACUGAUUAUUGAUGAUGUGGUGUAAGCGUUACGCACUCUCUCCUUCCAAGAGUUGUUGAAUUGUCCAUAGUCAACUCUUCAUUGUGAGUCCCCAAAUUGUAAUUAAUUCUCCUCUCGCUUUCUCUCUCUCUCUCUCUCUCUCUCCAAUUAAAUCUACCCCACUUUAUGCGAAAGGUUCAGAUGCCUUAAUUAUUUAGUCAUUAAUUAGCAUUAGUAUGUAAUGUCUGGGGUGUCUUGAGAACAAUAACCACAGUUAUAAAAUUGGCAAUUGUUAUGUAAUUAAAAAUUAAUAAAACAUUAUUUUAGGCCAAUAAUGCAGAUGACAAAGUGUGCAUAAUUAAACAAUCGACACAUCUAAUAUAUGCAGUGAGAAGACCAGCCACUCCUGAUAAGGAUCCAGCCUGUUUUAUAGCUUGUCAAAAGCAAUUAACUAAUUAACUCCGUAGGAUAUAAAGUAUUAAAUAUACCAUUCUUUUACACCAUAAUCAAGCUCUUACAAUAUAAAUGAUAUUCUUUUGUAGCUUAAACUGUUGUACACGCACUGAUCAAUUCAUACUGUUCUAAAUUCUUCAUAAUCUAAUUUUCUUGCAUCGAUCGUUUCCAAAUCCACGACGUCAUUUGUUAAAAUGUAUAUCUUGAGUCAAGACAUAAGAGAAUGUGUUAAAUAAUAAUAGCAGAAAUAUAUGUCGUUCUCUUGUAGCUUAAAUUAUGUUAGCUGAAAAUAUUUAUUUUGUUUUACAUUAUUUUAAGCUCUGUAAAGUAAGCGUCCGCAGCCUCUAUAAUAAAAGUCAACGUUUACGGACGAUUAUUAUAGGAUCCCACUUCUUUAUAAGUUAUUAUAACACUUUAACGCUUACAAUCCAAUGUUGUCGCACGUACCUAUACCAAAUAUAUAACUUGGUCAAUUAAUCUUAAAAGAGUUGCAACUGAACUAGAAGUGGAUAGUAUUAAACAUCUUUUCAUUGUUCCACAUUAUUAAUUUAUAUUUACGAAAAAAUUUGGUCACUUAAUCUUAAAAAAGUUGCAACUGAGCUAGAAGUGGAUUAUAUUAAACAUCUUAAUUUUCAGCGUUCUACAUUUUUAAUUUAUAUCUACAUGGGGCGUUGAUUAUUAUGAAAUUCAAUGUACCGUACAAAGCAAUCAAAUGAAACAGAAGACAGAUCAAAACUGCUCGUAUCAGAUAAGCAAGUUCGUGAUGAAAAUGCAUGUGAUGAAGCAAACACAGCAACUUAUCCAUUUAUAUAUAGAGAAUAGUUUUAGUGCCAUUUGUGAUAUGAUAUAUAUAUCACUUGGUAUUGUAUUUUGUGGAUAAUUUUGGUGGUGAAAUGGUCCGCAAGAAAUAAAUACGUUAAAUAAUUCAACAUCCAAAUUGAUCUUUCCUAUGAUGGUGCUCAAUAAUUGUAAUGCAAUGUCUGUUUAGACAUUUCCUACAGAAAUCCGUGCUGUUGUUCUUAAUUCUGUUUGUUCAUAUACAUAUAUAUUUAUUAAAACUAGGCGAGUGUCCGCGCAAAUGGAAAUCACGAUUUUUUUUAAAAAUUAUCAUAAAUCAAUAUAAAUUUAUAUGUUAUAUUAAUUCAAAAAUUUACAAUAAAAAUAUAAAUUUUGAAAACAAAAGGUAAAUUCAUUUGUAUAUUUUAUUAGAAAAUAUCUGUUAUAUUUUAAGUAAAAUUUAAAUGGUUGCUGCCAACAAUAAUUAUAUAGUCCUAUUUUUUUCAUUUAUAUACAUUCCAAUAUUUUUGUAUAUUUUUUAAAUUCUGAUGAGCCUAAAGUAUAAAUAUAUGCUUUAAACUAAAAGUAUCGAAAUUUUAGUUCAUCUUUAAUUUAAAAUUUAAAAUUUAAAUUUUAAAAUUUAAUUUUGAUCUGUUUUAAUUAUUAAUUCAAAUUUGAUAAGAAAAUUAAAUUUAAUUCACGAUGUAAACUGAAAUUUUAUUUUUAAUUAAAAAUUCAUAAUUUUAAAUUUAAAUAGUAUAAUUAAAUUUUAACUUUGAAUUUAAGAUGAAAUAAAAAUUACAAUUAAGUAAGAUUAAAAUUUGAAUAUAUAUUUGAAAUUAUAAAAUAUAUAAUUAAGUGGAAUAUGAGUAGAAAAUUCAAAUUAGGGUGAUAGACUACAAAAUAUUAUUGCCUAUAUGUGAUAUUAUUGCCUUCUAUAUGGUGAGUACAUUGUGUGCAACUGUCCAACACCUUGGUUAGUGUAUUGUGGGACUCCUAGUCAGUCGACUCAAGGUUGACCGGAUUUCGAAUGUCGACCUGUAAAGUCGAUGUUUCGACGGUUUUGGUUGUGAACUUUUGGUUCAGUAAAGAUGUAUCAAGCGGUUUGGUACUUCGAUGUGUUGCGCUUCCAACUUGUCAUUGGUAGUGGAUCUUCGAGUAUUUCGCUUUUUUUUUUUUUUAUAAGUAUAUUGGCUGUAGACAAUGUACUGUCGAAAGUUGGGACGAAAUUGUCACGACCCGCGACCACCCGCCUAUUUGGCCGAGGUCGCGGCGCCGCCAACAGACUGCCGAACGGACAAAGUUUCCCCUGUACGUUCUAGGCGUCGCAAUCAAUACAAUACAAAGGUUCCAACCAGGAACAAUAUUCAACAUACAGAUUGCAUAAGGAAGUAUAAAAAACAUAACACAUUCUAUAUUAUUACAAGCAUUCACAUGAGAUUCAUUUUUAUAUUACAUUCAACUCCCAAAUGCAAAUAAGUUAUUACAUCAUUUAUUCAUUACGAGUUUGAUACAUUUGUUCUUUUUAUUUUUCUCUACCCCUAGGCUAUGCCGACUCGGGGUACCGCUAUCUUUGGUCUCUGGGGUAGGGCGCUAUCUAUGGAGCUACGCCCUUGCCUCGCGCCGCCGCGCCGCUCACAUGUGAACCUGAAAUACCCCAAAACAACGUGGGGUGAGAACCAACUCCAUGUUUCCCAGUGGGUACGGCCACCCAAGGAAAAAGCUCGACCGAUAGGUCCAAGGAAGCACUGUAACAUGUUAGUCCAAUAAUAUACAACAGAUAUAUAUAUCAUAUUGAAAUACAUGCCAUGCCUCACAAUAUGCAAUAUGGAAUUUAUGCAACUAUGCAACUAUGCAGUUCAUCUAGUAGUUCCAUUGAUACUACUUUAAAUCUAGCUAAUCAUAGCUCUAAGAUCUCUAUAUACCUUAGAUCCACGGCUCAAGCUCAACUAGCGUCUAAGGUCUCUACUGUCUUAGAUCAUACCAUAUACCACUAACCUUUAAGGUUUUCACUAUCCACCCGACUCGGCCUCGAGUCAAUCAUCGCGGACUACCGCGCACUAGCUGCAUCUCUAUUACAGCCUGGCUGCCGUCACAGCCUACCGCACCUCUUGACUUAGCCAUUUGGCGGCGAACUCAUCGCAUCGAACCCAACAACGACUCAAGUCAUGACUUAGCCAUCCGGCAGCGAACUCAUCGCAUCACACCCGACAAUGGCUCAAGUCGUGACUUAGUCAUCUGGCAACGACCACAUCGCCCUUACCCAGCAAUGGCUCAAGUCAAUCUAGGCGGCAUCAACCAAUAAGCUAAAUGGGCGAGGAGAACCAACCUACCCAUUUCAAGCUCAAGCUCAUGGCAUACCGGGCGAGGAGAACCAAAAUACCCGUUGAAUCACUGCCGGGCGAGGAGAACCAGCAUACCCGCAGUUAGGAUUCUAUUUAUGCCAAUUCACUUACCGGGUGAGGAGAACCAACAUACCCGUUGAAUCACUGCCGGGCGAGGAAAACCAACAAACCCGCAGUUAGGAUUCACUUGCGCUUAGUCGCAAAUCUCAUUCGCUGCACUAGCAGCCUUCAUUUCCUAGGGAUUCCGGAAUCCAUUUCACAACUCAAGGGGUGGUCUCAAACCCUAUAGUAUCGACCUAUCUAGGUCUGAUGUCCUUUUCACCCUAGGUCCAACUGACUCUAGGUUCCAUGCCUCUAUCACAUAACCUAGGUGUUUACUUUAACUCUAGGUUCAAUCCAUAACCUAUGUUCUUUAACACUAGGUUCGAUGCCACUCAUGAUUCAUUCUAGGUUCCAGGUCUCAGUUACAUAACCUAGGUAAAACCGCUAGGUUCUAUCUCAUCUCUGCCUAGAUGUUCACUUCUAGGUUCACUUGUUCGACCUAUGUUUACUAACACUACGUUCGAUGCCACACACCUAGACUUGUUCGACUCUAGGUUCACUAGUUCAACCUAUAUUCUUUAACACUAGGUUAGGUGCCACUCGAUCUAUUCGACGCUCUAGUUGUCCAAUGUCGAGUUCUACAUUCACUCUAGGGUUAUCGACCCAUUCACAUGCCUAUUCCCACAAUGCUAAUCAGGCGUUUAUGCAGUUAUCUAGCAUUUACAUAUCAUGCAUUCUACUUAGCAUUUUGCAUCAUGAUAUCAACAUGCAUUAUUUACACUAUAUGCAUAAACAUGAAUUCUUAACUCGCUUAGACAUACAGGCGACCUAAUCGCUUCGGUAAGCACAACCCACCUUAAUUUGCAUUCCGAUUGCUUGUCGACACUUGCAAUUGGCCUCCCGCGGCACUCGGCAUCCGGUUUGGCCCGAUCUUGCUGUUGCGCACCAACCGUACUCUGCUUCGCAGCGCCGAAAAUUAUAGGUCUUCGGUUAUGUGCCACGGUGCUCGGGAUCCAUCCCCACGAUCUUACGACGUCGCCUCGGCCCUCCAGGCGAAAACAAAGCUAAAUCACCCGUUUCUUUAAUAUCUUCGCACUGGCUUGACGAAUCGUCGAACCGACUUCGCCAACGCGUCAGAAUACCUAGCAAUUAGGUUGACAGAGGGUCAAUUGAGAUCAAACCCAUGUAAAUACGAAAACGCUCUUUAGAACCCUAGCAUGCACAUAUACUCCAAAUAACCCACACUCUUAUGGAGAAACAUGCAUUUAGUAACCUAGGGAUCAUUAGAAUACUAAGCAUAAAGGAUUUAACCAAAUCCUAAACUCUUACCGAUUUGCGAACGCCGAGUCGGAAGCACCUCGCUCAAACGGGCACACGAACGCUCGAUCCGUCGCCUCCCACGCGUUCGCAGCGUUGCUCUCCACCAAGCCUCCGAAUUUGGGAGAUGGAUUUAGAGAGAUGAAGUGGGAAAGCUAGAGAGAAGGAGGAGCUUCUCUCUCUAGCUCAUGUGUGUGUGUGUGUGUGUGCGUUUGAGCUAAGGAAGAAGAAGAAGGGGGUGUAGCCCUUUCAUAAGUCAAACCCCCACAAUUUUAUUACAAGAAUGCCACUCAAACAAGGCAUUUUUCGGGCUCAGGGUCCGGAUCCUGAAGCCAGGGUCCGGACCCCGUAGGUCCAGAAAAUCAGCAUUUUAAGGACUUAGCCAAAUUUUCAGCAUUUUCAGCUUUUAGUCCGUUUUCGCUCGUUUUUUCUCGUUUGGCCUCCAAUUCAUUUCAAAUCGAACCGAGACUUUCAAAACAUGUUUUCGAGCGUUUUUAAACCAUCUUUUCAUCCACGCCUUUGCCGGAUUUAGUCCAUGGUCCAACAUAGCCUUUCGGGCUCCGUUUUCGCGCCCUACGCAAACUGAAGCACCCGAAUGCUCCCGAACUUCACCGAACUUCACCGGAACCAUUCAAAUGGCUUUCCAAUCAAAUGUACACCGUAACUUCAUAAUUUUAGAAGUCCGGUACCUUACAGAAAUACUCUUUUCUCGUUUGAGACUUUUGGAUUGGGUCGGUGUUGCCUUUUGCAUGACAAUCUCUAUAGACUGUCUUGUGGGAAGGCUGGAGUGAUGGUCAUCUCUAACCAUGUAACGAGCCUUGGAUUAUUUUCCUGGCAGAUUUUGCAUAGUUGAUGUAUCGUCACUGCAGAUGAUAUUGACUCUGGUUUGAGUCUGGGUGCUUGUUAGCUCUUUAGUUGUGCCUUUUACAGCAAAAAGGUUUGCGUUGAUUGGUAGUCUCGGCCUUUUUUCGGGAGAUUCGAAAUCAUGGUUAAUGAGCGGCUUGAGCCUGAUUUUUGGCUUUGAUCGUCACGGUAUGUGAUAGCGUAUAAGGUUUGCGAUUCGGUUUAUCGUGUAAACCUCUAAAUGGUAUGCUUGUCCAGUUAUUUGGUGACAGGUGCGCCUGGGUCUCAAUGAGACAGGUGUUUGGUGUUGCUGGGAACAUCGAUCGCUUGGGUCCCUCAUAAGACGGCAGCGAUAGGAUCUCGUGGAGAUAGGUAUUGGGCAUCACCGAUGGUUAUUAUCACAUAUUACGAUUGGCAACCCUGUGCAUCAACUAAUGGACUUGCAAGGAGCAUAUGUUGGUUUGAUUGUGCCGGAUUAAGUUAUUGAGGAGACAAAUUGUCGAGCUCAAUUGGUAAUGUCAGCCUUUGAUCUUUUGGCCAGGUAGAAGGUGAGAUCUUGAACUUAGGAGUGUCGAAUACCGUAGGUGGGUUUUCGAUACUAUGGGUUUGACUUCAGUUAUUUAUAUUUUAAACUAGUGGGAGAUUAUGGUCUUCGAGGUAAGUAUUAUUGACUCAGGUUUUGGGACAACGAUACGCCCUCUGUAACAUACCAGAUUUUGAUAUAAAAAUAAAAAAUAAAUAAAAAUAAUGUGAGAUAAUAUUUUUAUUGGAUUUAGAGAAGUAAAACAUAAGUCAGAAGUGACUUGUGCUGAAAUCAGAAUGAAAAUAGAAGAUUUAGAAUUUUUUGUUGGAAACGGGACAGAUAAAUUAGUAGAAAAUGCACAGUGUCAGAAAAUUAUAAAAACUGGAGGAUAAGUCAGAAUUAUUUUUAUGAGGCUAGAUUUAAAGUUUCAUAUCAUUCUGACACCCGGAAGGUUGGAAAGUAAAAUCCGACGACUAUCUGAUAAAGAUUACAGUUCGGUACGGUUUUCGGUGACCAAACCGGGUCGAAACUAAAAUAUUAAAAUUUUUUUGUACUUAUUAAGUAAAACCGAGCCUGUCUGUCAAAUUUCAGAGCAAAUGGACAUUCAGAAGGACUUCGGUGAAAAAUGUCAGUUUUAAAUUGCCCGAAAUGAAUAGUAUUUUGGGGUGUAAUUAUAAUAGAAGCAGCUUGCUUCUUCCUCCCUCAACCGUGCUGCACACACACGCACACCACACACACGGAUACAUGGUGGGGAGAGAGAAAGCUUCCCUUUCUCUCUCUAGAUUUCUCUCUCAUCUUUCUAAAUCUCUCGCUCAAAUUCGCGGCGUUGGCGGAGAGCGAGCUUGCGAACGCGUUGGGAGCGACGGAUCGAGCUUUUGUGCGCCCGUUGGAGCGGCGUGCUUUCGUCGCGGCGUUCACAUUUUGGUAAGAGUUUGGGAUUUUGUUUAAAUCCUUCAUGAAUGAUGUUCUAGUAGUAUCUAGAGUGUUCUAAAUAUAUUUUCUCCAUUUAAUUUGGAUUAUUUGGAGGUUAAUUGCAUGUUAGGGCUCCGAAUGGAGUUUUGUAAAAUAGUAGGGUUUGAUCUCAUUUGACCCUCUGUAAACCUAAUUGCUAGGUAAACGAACGCGUUGGCGAUGUCGGUUCGGUGAUUCGUCGAGCCUACGCGAAGUUAUUAAAGAAACGGACGUUUAGGCUUCAUUUCCGCCUGGAGGGACGAGGCGACAUCGUAAAAUCAUGAAAACGGAUUUGGAGCACCGUGGCACAUAACCGAAGAGCUAUAAUUUUCGGAGCCACGAUUCGACGCACGGUUGGUGAGUAUUAGCGAAAUCGGGCCGAACCGGACACGGGUGCCGCGGGAGGUCGAUUGCAAGUGUCGACAAGCAAUCGGAAAGCGAUUUGAGGUGGGUUGUGCUCACCGAAGCAACUAGGUCGCCUAUAUGUCUAAGAGUAAUGGUUUUCUAAUUGAUACAUAUAGUUGUAUUGGUAGGCUUACAUGAUAUUGCAAAUGCUUAAAAAACAUACUAUGUUGUUGAGAUUACCUACCAAUGAGAUGAAAUGCAUAAUGAAUUAAAUGCUAUAUAAAUGUUAGAUAAUGCAUAUUGGCAUUGAAAUGAUGCAUGUAGUUAACACUAAAGGAAUGCAUGUUAAUUACAUAAUGUAAAAGCUAAGUAAAUGUUUAUGAUAAUUGCUAAGCCUUGAACGUACAGUGGAGACUCUGUCCGCGAUACAGGGAAUGUUAGGAUUUCCAUAUAUUGUGGCCCAAUUAAUCAUAUUUAAUUUAGGAUUUGCUAUAGAUAAAGGUCAAUCCUAACAGAUUUAGAGCUACUUGAUAUGGCAUAUUUUAUCCCUAUCCCAUCUAUUUUAAAUUUAAAUAGAAUCCUAAUCAGACUUUGAUGGGAAGUCGAUUUGGGCUCUAUAUAAAGGGGUAUUGGUCCUGCCACCUUCUCAUAUGCAUUCUGGUGAAGAAUUACCAUCGGUUCCACACCAUACGGUAGAGUGCCUGAGAUAGGAGGAGAAACCAAAUCACCUAAGUUGUGCCAUAUUGCGCUCUGUGAGUUAUUUAUCUUAUUUGAUCCUGAAUUUUGGUAUGUAUUUAAUUUGUUUCGUAUUUUAUAUCCCUUGAAAUUCUAUCAGGAAAAACUCUGUCCGUUCGGCGGUCUGUCGGCGUGCCCGAAUCCGACCAAAUAGGCGGGCUCGGGGCGUAACAGAUAAGAUGGUAUCAGAGCAUAAAGUAGAGAAUGAGAAUAUGGUUUAGACAAGCCUAGGAGACCCUAGGAUAGUGAAACCAUAGGAGAAUAAGGCUCGUGAGAGAGGAGGACUUGUGAUUCGCGGCGAAAGGUUAAUGGAUUUGGUUGUGUCGGAACCUCUAAGACGGAUAUUAGAGAUAGACACGAGGUAUCGUUUAUUUUCGCCGAGGGUAUUCAUGUUGGUGCGCGACAACACGAGGACGGGGGACGAGAAUAAACGCCCUUGCUUGACUUUCGCCUGAUUGACUUGUGGGGUCGGUAUUAAGUGUCUAGUGUUUGACUUAGAAGGUCGAUGAUUAAUAGAGUUGUCAUGUAUUAGGAAAUGACGGCACCGCAUAGGCGAUCUUCAUUUAGAUCGGCGCGGGAUGGGCCAAGUGGUGUCCCUGGGCAAUUUGAGGCGAGCGAAGACUUGGAACUUCGCGAGUUUCGGCGGCCCUCAUGACCUUUAAGCGGUUUAACCCGCCUGUCAUCGAUGGAGAGAAUGUCGAUCCGUGGAUCGUGGAGAUGUGGAUUGACUCUAUGGAAACGCUCUUUGACGAGCUGUACACCUUGGAGCGAGAUAAGGUACCCCUGGCCGUACAUUGUUUGAAAUUAUCGGCAAAGGUGUGGUGGAAAGGUAUUCGACGGAAUCGAUCGCCUAGUCUUCCUCCUAUGGCUUGGGAUGAGUUUCGGGGAUUGGUACUCUCUACUUACUUCCCCGACAGUGAAAAGAGAAACCUUCAGGACAGGUUCAGGAAGCUGCAGCAAGGAGACCACGCCGUGAGGGAAUACGAGCGGGAAUUCUCUUAAAUCGUAAGUUGCGUCCCGAGCGUAGUGCGGGAUGACGAGGAAGUGGCCGAUGUGCCUCUUCGGAGACUUCGGUCGGACGUUGUCGAGGUUGUGCAGGUAAGGAAGUGAAUUCUCAAAAUUCAAGAGUUGGACUUCGCUUAGAAUUGACUAAUUGUCGAGUGGGUAGGCUUCGGAAAAGUUAAAGAUGUCCAAAACACAAAAUGUGCUUUGGAUUCGAGUCCACGACAGCAAUAGUGCAAAAUCUGUAUUUGGCAGAUUAUGCUCUCGGGGACCGGUCCCUGGCAGGGAGAGACCGGUCCCCUCAGCUGGUGGUUGUGGCGACGCGCGGGGCAACCGGUCCCUAGGCCAGGGAGACCGGUUCCCGAACGUGUGAGAUUGGGAAGGUCCAGAGGGACCGGUCCGUCGUCGGGGAGACCGGUCCCCGUAGCCGAAAUUUGCCCAGUUUGGGCAGUGCACAUUCUUAAGUUGCAGUCGCAAUCCUGAACCUCGGAGGUGUCCUCCGUUAACUUCUCUGAGAUACGGGAUCGUAGAAGUUCUCACCAGGCGCGGCAAUGUGCGCUGCGUGAUGAGAUGGGCAUUCGUGUGGGCGAUUGCCGGGUUGUGCUCGUGUAGCCGGUGUGCAUAGGCAGAGUUGCCUAAUGCUGGACUUAGUAUACGGCGUGUAGAGCGCUUGAGGAUAGAUACUCGUGGAGUGCGGUAUUGACUCAGCCGGAGUGUGUAGGCAGUAGCACCGUAGCAUUGCUAGGUGUGAAGCGUGCCUGGGAUCACUCGUGGGCUGAUGACUCGCACUAGUUAGUUAGGAGCCGAUAGUGUGGUGUUGUUCAGGUGAGCAUGUCGCGUGAGACGACGAUAGCGGGUAUUGCUUAAGGACAAUCCGUGCCUGGACCAUUUGUGAACUGUGGAGCCUCGGCCCAUUGGGCAGGCGCAGUCAGCUGUGAGUGACAGCGGCCCGGUACCUACGGGUAGGGCAGAGUUCUGGUCAGGACGGUAGUUCGAGCUUAGACCCGGGAGCGUGGAAUGCCACGUGAUAGAUUGUAUGACCGAUGGUACACCGAGUGCGGUUGUGACCCAACCCGAGGACUUGACGUGGUUUGGGGUCUUAGUUGCUCCUGGUUAGAGUGUGUGCGAAUUCCCAAGUGAGAAUUUCGCCCGAUGAUGAUUGGGUCUGCAUUUGCGAGCGAGAGACGCUGCGUAUUGAGACAGGUUUAGGCGGUAGGCCUACGUAGGAUUGGUGGCCUUUGGUCCACCUGUGGAGACCGAAGAGAGCGAUUUGGCGGAUAGCCUUAUCGAGGAGUUUGACUCGAAUUCACGAAUGAAGCGCUCGUGUGAGCUCAUUGCGAAAAUAAUUUGAUGUUAAUCGUGGCAUGUGGUAUCAGAUGACGAAAUAUUCCUUGUGAGACAUCAAACUAGUGGAAAGCCACUUGAUGUUGGAGACUAUGCUCGUAAACGAACUAAGACUUGAGAGGUGCCGAAGUGGGCCAUCUCACGUUAAAGUUAAGGGUCAAUGCGAAAUUAGAGCACUCACGACGGAGCGAUGCACCGGUGAUAUUGCUUCUGAGCAAUGUCGGUGAUUGAAUCAGAAUGUUUUCCUUGAAGGGAAGGUAAGUGAAAAGAAGAGUUCUUUGUGUAUCGAAUGGCGAGUGGUGUUGGAGAGCGUAGAGUCGUCGAGUAUCGACUUGCGCUGCCACUAUAACUUGCAAGACCCGUGAUGCACUUUUGUAUUACACUUUGCAAAUGUGUUUAGGAUUAAACCCACGUCCUUCAGUAUGAGCCGCUUCUGGAACCAUGAUAGUGUGAAGCCGCUUUGGAGUGGGAGAAUGAGUUGGUACCCUCAAUUGCUCGCGGAGCUGAAUUGAGGUGCGGUUUGAAUUUCGCGGUCGAAAUUCUUUUUAAGGGGUGGAGAAUGUAACAUACCAGAUUUUGAUAUAAAAAUAAAAAAUAAAUAAAAAUAGUGUGAGAUACUAUUUUUAUUGGAUUUAGAGAAGUAAAAUAUAAGUCAAAAAUGACUUGUGCUGAAAUCGGAAUGAAAACAGAAGAUUUAGAAUUUUCUAUUGGAAACGGGACAGAUAAAUUAGCAGAAAAUGCACAGUGUCAGAAAAUUAUGAAAACUGGAGGAUAAGUCAGAAUUAUUUUUAUGAGGCUAGAUUUAAAGUUUCAUGUCAUUCUGACACCCGGAAGGUGGGAAAGUAAAAUCCGACGACUAUCUGAUAAAGAUUACAGUUCGGUACAGUUUUCGGUGACCAAACGGGGUCGAAACUGAAAUAUUAAAAUUUCUUUGUACUUAUUAAGUAAAACCGAGCCUGCCUGUCAAAUUUCAGAGCAAACUGACAUUCAGAAAGGCUCCGGCAAAAAACGUCAGUUUUAAAUUGCCCGAAGUGAAUAGUGUUUUCGGGUGUAAUUAUAAUAGAAGCAGCUUGCUUCUUCCUCCCUCAACCGUGCUGCACACACACGCACACCACACACACACGCAUACAUGGUGGGGAGAGAGAAAGCUUCCCCUUCUCUCUCUAGAUUUCUCUCUCAUCUCUCUAUAUCUCUCGCUCAAAUUCGCGGCGUUGGCGGAGACCAAGCUUGCGAACGCGUUGGAAGCGACGGAUCGAGCUUUCGUGCGCCCUUUCGUGCGCCCGUUGGAGGGGCAUGCUUUCGUCGCGGCAUUCACGUUUUGGUAAGAGUUUGGGAUUUUGUUUAAAUCCUUCAUGAAUGAUGUUCUAGUAGUAUCUAGAGUGUUCUAAACAUAUUUUCUCCAUUUAAUUUGGAUUAUUUGGAAGUUAAUUGCAUGUUAGGGCUCCGAAUGGGGUUUUAUAAAAUAGUAGGGUUUGAUCUCAUUUGACCCUUCGUAAUCCUAAUUGCUAGGUAAACGAACGCGUUGGCGAAGUCGGUUCGGCGAUUUGUCGAGCCUACGCGAAGUUAUUAAAGAAACGGACGUUUAGGCUUUAUUUCCGCCUGGAGGGCCGAGACGACAUCGUAAAAUCAUGAAAACGGAUUUGGAGCACCGUUGGUGAGUAUUAGCGAAAUCGGGCCAAACCGGACACGGGUGCCGCGGGAGGCCGAUUGCAAGUGUCGACAAGCAAUCGGAAAGCGAUUUGAGGUGAGUUGUGCUCACCGAAGCGACUAGGUCGCCUAUAUGUCUAAGAGUAAUGGUUUUCUAAUUGAUGCAUAUAGUUGUAUUGGUAGGCUUACAUGAUAUUGCGAAUGCUUAAAA
rnacentral:lncRNA from 1 species